GGGGUCGUAGCUCAGCUGGUUAGAGCGCCGGCCUGUCACGCCGGAGGUCGCGAGUUCGAGUCUCGUCGGCCCCGCCA
rnacentral:tRNA from 4 species